AUUGUACUCCCUCCGUCCGAAAAAACUUGUCCCUCAAAUGGAUGUAUCUAGCACUAGUGCUAGAUACAUCCAUUUGAGAGACAAACUUUUCCGGAUGGAGGGAGUACUAC
rfam:Triticum urartu cultivar G1812 contig535786, whole genome shotgun sequence.